GGGCCCGCACAAGCGGUGGAGUAUGUGGUUUAAUUCGAUGCAACGCGAAGAACCUUACCAGGGUUUGACAUCCUGCGAAUUUCUGGGAAACCGGAAAGUGCCUUCGGGAGCGCAGUGACAGGUGGUGCAUGGCUGUCGUCAGCUCGUGUCGUGAGAUGUUGGGUUAAGUCCCGCAACGAGCGCAACCCACGUCUUUAGUUGCCAGCAUUUAGUUGGGCACUCUAGAGAGACCGCCGGUGAUAAACCGGAGGAAGGUGUGGAUGACGUCAAGUCAUCAUGCCCCUUACAUCCUGGGCUACACACGUACUACAAUGCUACGGACAAAGGGAAGCGAACCCGCGAGGGCAAGCAAAUCUCAAAAAGCGUCUCUCAGUUCGGAUUGCAGGCUGCAACUCGCCUGCAUGAAGCUGGAAUCGCUAGUAAUCGCAGGU
rnacentral:rRNA from 1 species